rnacentral:rRNA from 1 species
UACGUAGGGUGCAAGCGUUAAUCGGAAUUACUGGGCGUAAAGCGUGCGCAGGCGGUUUUGUAAGUCUGUCGUGAAAUCCCCGGGCUCAACCUGGGGAAUUGCGAUGGAGACUGCAAGGCUAGAAUCUGGCAGAGGGGGGUAGAAUUCCACGUGUAGCAGUGAAAUGCGUAGAGAUGUGGAGGAACACCGAUGGCGAAGGCAGCCCCCUGGGUCAAGAUUGACGCUCAUGCACGAAGGCCAGGGGAGCAAACGGG